rnacentral:misc_RNA from 1 species
AAGUCGUAACAAGGUUUCCGUAGGUGAACCUGCGGAAGGAUCAUUAUCAAAACAGCGGACUUCGGUCCUUGCUGCACCCUUGUCUUUUGCGUACCGUAUGUUUCCUCGGCGGGCUUGCCUGCCGGUUGGACAUUAUCAAACCUUUUUGUAGUUGCAAUCAGCGUCAGAGAAUAAACAAUAAUUACAACUUUCAACAACGGAUCUCUUGGUUCUG